GGUUUUGUGAUAGAUCUCCACACGUGGAUCUAUGUUUCUAUCCCAUAAGUUUUUCAUUUCGAUCUUCGUGGGUUUUUCUUUAGCCUAGAAGUUCUUUGUGUGUUUGUUCUUCGUGGGUUUAUGAUGUUAUCCUAUAUCUACUUAAUUAAUUCAGACGUUUUUCUUAGCAAACAAAAUUUCGUGAUUCUAGCACCAUAAGUUUUAGGAGGGUGUUAAAGGAAAAUUAGGGUUUAUGAACUAUUAAUAUUUUCCAUUUAAUGAAUUUCCAUUUAGUGGUUUCUUUGAGGUCUAUAUAUAUUCCUAUGUAAAACAUUACUACAUACUCUGAAUUAUUAUGUUUUAUUCAAUAGUAUAGAGAUUUCACAGUAUGUAGCUUUGUUGUGGACAAUUAAUGACCUCUCGGCGUAUAGUAACUUAUCCAGGUGGAGUACGAAAGGCUAUCAGACAUGUUCCAUAUGCAUGAGAGACAAAUCGUUGUUCGAGAUAAGAAGAAAAAUAUCUUUCAUGAGACAUCAUCGUUAUCUUCUAAAGAAUCACGUUUGGCGUAGAAGUUAGCUACAUGAUGGAAAGCCGCUUUGACUUCUAAUGACGAACUUGAAUAUAUGGGCCAAGAUGAUGGAAGAGGCUAGGAUGGAGGAAUGCUCUAGGAAUGCUCUGAAGGAUUACUCCUUGCUUAAGUCAGUACCCCGACGGUACAAUGAAUUGCCACAAACUCAUUCCAAGUAUUCAUGUGCAGCUCCUUCUGUGGGUAUAUAUUAGUCUAUUGAUCUGACUCACGGUCAUUUCAAGCUUGAAGGCAAUUGCCCCCGCAAAGACCACAACCUUCAUCAAGUCUUAUUGCAUCAACUAUGGCUCACAUUCAUUAAGAAAAUGGGUAGAUACCUCGAUUUACCAAACUUGGAAUAGACAAGAGGAAACUAGGAAAGGCGGCCGGAAAUAGCCAACAACUCGAAGGUGAAGUUUGUAUAGUAAUAUCCUAGAACAAUUAGACUGUUUUCUUGAUUAUUGGAGUUUUGUAUCAUAUUUGAUUGGUGCUAAUAAAGUUGUCUAAACUUGGCAUUAUUAAGUGGUACUUAUACAUUUAACAGCUCUCUCA